rnacentral:rRNA from 1 species
AGAGUUUGAUCAUGGCUCAGGACGAACGCUGGCGGCGUGCCUAAUACAUGCAAGUCGAACGCUUUUUCUUUCACCGGAGCUUGCUCCACCGAAAGAAAAAGAGUGGCGAACGGGUGAGUAACACGUGGGUAACCUGCCCAUCAGAAGGGGAUAACACUUGGAAACAGGUGCUAAUACCGUAUAACACUAUUUUCCGCAUGGAAGAAAGUUGAAAGGCGCUUUUGCGUCACUGAUGGAUGGACCCGCGGUGCAUUAGCUAGUUGGUGAGGUAACGGCUCACCAAGGCCACGAUGCAUAGCCGACCUGAGAGGGUGAUCGGCCACACUGGGACUGAGACACGGCCCAGACUCCUACGGGAGGCAGCAGUAGGGAAUCUUCGGCAAUGGACGAGAGUCUGACCGAGCAACGCCGCGUGAGUGAAGAAGGUUUUCGGAUCGUAAAACUCUGUUGUUAGAGAAGAACAAGGAUGAGAGUAGAACGUUCAUCCCUUGACGGUAUCUAACCAGAAAGCCACGGCUAACUACGUGCCAGCAGCCGCGGUAAUACGUAGGUGGCAAGCGUUGUCCGGAUUUAUUGGGCGUAAAGCGAGCGCAGGCGGUUUCUUAAGUCUGAUGUGAAAGCCCCCGGCUCAACCGGGGAGGGUCAUUGGAAACUGGGAGACUUGAGUGCAGAAGAGGAGAGUGGAAUUCCAUGUGUAGCGGUGAAAUGCGUAGAUAUAUGGAGGAACACCAGUGGCGAAGGCGGCUCUCUGGUCUGUAACUGACGCUGAGGCUCGAAAGCGUGGGGAGCGAACAGGAUUAGAUACCCUGGUAGUCCACGCCGUAAACGAUGAGUGCUAAGUGUUGGAGGGUUUCCGCCCUUCAGUGCUGCAGCAAACGCAUU